rnacentral:misc_RNA from 1 species
AAGUCGUAACAAGGUUUCCGUAGGUGAACCUGCGGAAGGAUCAUUAUCACAAAUGAUUUUUAACUCUCUUAAUCCAGAGUUAAACCUCUUCUUAAACCAAUCUAAUUAAAAUGUGAAUUGUUAAUUAUGUAUUUUUUUAUUGUGAUAGCGGGUGGUGGUUUCACUACCUACUAGAUCAAUAAUAAUGAUACUAUAAUUCUUUUUUUUUAACCAAUUGAACCCUUUUCUAAUUUUGUUAUUUUAUUUCUAUUUAGUUCUGAAAUCUAUUAUAUCUCAAUAGCGAUAUUGAAAUAUAGUAAGUUACAUUACGAAACAAUAUAAAUAAAACAACUCUUAGCAACGGAUAUCUUGGUUCUC